ACCUUCGGCGCCUAGGAUCGCCGCACAGUCCUCCAUCGGCUUGCCUACGCCACAGUCGCCCCUGCCCCCGCUUCGCCUUCCUGUCAGCCUAGGCUCGGAGGUGGGACCCGCGGGCUGUGCUCGGGGUUCGACGGCUCGCGACCAGAUCCUGUACUGUUGGGAAAAUGCUAUAAAAGGACAUUAUUGGCUCAACUGACAAGAUUGGAAUAUAUAUGAAACUUAGAUACAGGAGAAUCAAAACCGGAAGUUCAUCCCUGGCCCUCCUGCUUUCUGGUCUUUGGCAAGCAGCAAUUUCUCAGUCAACGCGAACUACUCAGUCAUCCUGUAGUCCAGAUUUAUAUUCAGUAAAUCCACUCCAACCAGGAGAUUGUUGCCCAGAGGACCAGCAGCAGCAGCAGCAGCAGCAGCAGCAGCAGCAGUGGCAACAGCAUUCUGAUAAAAACCACUGGGGGUCCAAAGAAAAUCAAGAAAGAGGAGGUUCUCAACCCUUGUCUGGGAGUACAAAUGAGAGGGGGACUUCUCUGGUUUUCCCUCACUCACCCCGGGGGACCAUCCAUAAGUAACCAGGCAGGCAGCCAAGUACUGAAGGUACAACUCAGUCCAGCUCAUAGCACAAACUCUGGGGAAGUGCACAGAGUUCGCGAGAGGGC